CUAGGGAUCUGCCCAGUCGAGGGGGAUAACCGUUGGAAACGACUGCUAAUACCGCAUACGCCCUACGGGGGAAAGGAGGGGACCUUCGGGCCUUCCGCGAUUGGAUGAACCUAGGUGGGAUUAGCUAGUUGGUGAGGUAAUGGCUCACCAAGGCGACGAUCCCUAGCUGUUCUGAGAGGAUGAUCAGCCACACUGGGACUGAGACACGGCCCAGACUCCUACGGGAGGCAGCAGUGGGGAAUAUUGCACAAUGGGGGAAACCCUGAUGCAGCCAUGCCGCGUGUGUGAAGAAGGCCUUCGGGUUGUAAAGCACUUUCAGUAGGGAGGAAAGGUUGCAGUUUAAUAAACUGUAGCUGUGACGUUACCUACAGAAGAAGGACCGGCUAACUCCGUGCCAGCAGCCGCGGUAAUACGGAGGGUCCGAGCGUUAAUCGGAAUUACUGGGCGUAAAGCGUGCGCAGGCGG
rnacentral:rRNA from 1 species